UACGUAGGGUGCAGGCGUUAAUCGGAAUUACUGGGCGUAAAGCGUGCGCAGGCGGCUCCUUAAGUCAGAUGGGAAAUCCCCGGGCUUAACCUGGGAACUGCGUUUGAAACUGAGGGGCUUGAGUGUGGAAGAGGGGGGUGGAAUUCCAGGUGUAGCAGUGAAAUGCGUAGAGAUCUGGAGGAACACCGAUGGCGAAGGCAGCCCCCUGGGCUGACACUGACGCUGAGGCGCGAAAGCCAGGGGAGCGAACGGG
rnacentral:rRNA from 1 species